GCCUGGCUAGCUCAGAUGGUAGAGCAUGAGACUUUUAAUCUCAGGGUCAUGGGUUCCAGUCCCAUGUUGGGCA
rnacentral:tRNA from 1 species